AAGCUCACACCCUCUCCAGGCUUCCACUGAGUGCCUACAGCCUGGGCGAGUGCCAAGACAGGCAAGUGACAUCGGGAGGAAAUGCCACAGGCAUCAUUGCUUGUGGUCACAGGGAGCCGCAUCCCCAGCAGCCACAGCUCCUGGGGACUUUCCACUCCCGUGCCUGCGUGCCUGUUAAUGACCUAGGAAAAUUCCCUCACGGAGUAUCCAGACAGCCUGGGAGAAGCUCUGGCUUGGAUGGGCAGCAAGAUGGGUGUGGAUGCUCAGGGGACUGCAGCCACAGGAGUUGAAGCCAGGCCCCUACACUGCCCCAUUGUGCUCUCCCUGCAGCUUUGGUAGCACACACAGCACCCAGCUCACAACACAGAGCUUGUGUUUAAUACCAUGGUUACGUCUGGCUGCUGGGGACAGUUCUGGAUACAAAGAUUUCACUGCUGGUUGCUCAUACUUUGGCUUCAGGUCCAGAGGCUGUUGUUCCUCUCUCUGCCUUGGUGACACCUGUCUGGGAGGCACAGAGCUGUCUGGAUGGGUUCAGCUUCACCCAGGUGUCUGCAUGGUGUGCUGUGUGUGGACUGGAGGUCUGUUCAUUGCUGGGCCUCUUGAAGUUCCUGCAUGUCUAAGGAAUCUAAGAGUAUCUUAGAGUAUUAUACUCUAAGAGUAUAAUAAAGUAGUAGUCACUUUAUUAAACAGCUCUAUUAAAUAGCAUUUUAAAUGUCA